CUCCAGGGUCAUGUUUGAAGCAGUAAAUGAAGCUGAUCACAACCUGUCUGACAUCAACAUCCACUCCUCACUGUCCAAAUUCUAGACACAGACAGUUCAUCUCAAUAGUUUAUAGAAGAAACAAAGACUAUUGAUAUUUCGUCUCUCAGCAAAUAGUGAAAGCUCCUGAAAUCGCCAAUCUAACAACAGGAAUCCUGGGGGAAAAAACUUAUUUUUUUCAAGUUAUCUUUUUUAAAUCAUUUGACUGCUGAAAAUAUCUAUCUACUAUAUAGAUUUUCAAGUAUUAAUAAAAUGUUUUAGUGUUCAAAA